GAUGAAGCGCAGCAAAAUGCGAUAAGUAAUGUGAAUUGCAGAAUUCAGUGAAUCAUCGAAUCUUUGAACGCACAUUGCGCCCGCCAGUAUUCUGGCGGGCAUGCCUGUUCGAGCGUCAUUUCAACCCUCAAGCACAGCUUGGUGUUGGGACUCGCGUUAAUUCGCGUUCCCCAAAUUGAUUGGCGGUCACGUCGAGCUUCCAUAGCGUAGUAGUAAAACCCUCGUUACUGGUAAUCGUCGCGGCCACGCCGUUAAACCCCAACUUCUGAAUGUUGACCUCGGAUCAGGUAGGAAUACCCGCUGAACUUAAGCAUAUCAAUAAGCGGAGGA
rnacentral:misc_RNA from 1 species